rnacentral:lncRNA from 1 species
GGCAAGUGAGGUCAGAGUUCCCACAAGCUCAUGAUCCAAGAUGGCAGACCCCCCGACAGAGAGCAGGAGAGCACUGGAGGUCUGCAGCCCUCCGCAGUGAGGAGAAAGACGGGUCAGGGAUCUGAGGACGGAUAAUUCCUCACCCCGGAUGGUGGGAUUAAGGUCCACAUCAUGUCGCCAAGUGUCUCAAGUGUCUCCAUGAUAUAGUGGUAGAGGUGAAACCCAUGAGUGUUAGGUGCUGAGCCACACCCUCUGUACGACACUGGGAGAUUCUGGGCAGAGGCUCCACCCCUGAGCCACACCCUCUGCCCAUCACUGGGAGAUUCUGGGCAGAGGCUCCAACCCCUGAGCCACACCCUCUGCCCAUCACUGGGAGAGUCUAGGCAGAGGCUCCACACCCUGAGCCACACCCUCUGCCCAUCACUGGGAGAGUCUAGGCAGAGGCUCCACACCCUGAGUCACACCCUCUGCCCAUCACUGGGAGAUUCUGGGCAGAGGCUCCAACCCCUGAGCCACACCCUCUGCCCAUCACUGGGAGAUUCUGGGCAAAGGCUCCACCCCUGAGCCACACCCCGUAGCUUCGUUGUUUUUUUUGUUUUAAUUACCAAAGGAGAACGAAGAGUUCUGGUAAUCCAGAAACAUAUGUUCACAAGGAUCAGUCAGCCUUACCUUCCAUAACUUUGCCGACGUAUUUCUAUUUAUGGCAUCGUUUGCUGAUUAAAUACAUUUAUUUUUCCUUCUGU